rnacentral:tRNA from 1 species
GCCGCGGUGGCACAACCUGGUACUGCGCGAGAUUGCUAAUCUCGUGACCUUCGGGUUUUGUGGGUUCAAGCCACUAAUUGAAAAUCCCACCCGCGGCG